rnacentral:rRNA from 1 species
UGGGAGUGCAGCAGGGCUUAGCCAUAGUAACGGCGAGUGAAGCGGCAACAGCUCAAAUUUGAAAUCUGGCUCUUUCAGAGUCCGAGUUGUAAUUUGCAGAGGGCGCUUUGGCUUUGGCAGCGGUCCAAGUUCCUUGGAACAGGACGUCACAGAGGGUGAGAAUCCCGUACGUGGUCGCUAGCUAUUGCCGUGUAAAGCCCCUUCGACGAGUCGAGUUGUUUGGGAAUGCAGCUCUAAAUGGGAGGUAAAUUUCUUCUAAAGCUAAAUAUUGGCCAGAGACCGAUAGCGCACAAGUAGAGUGAUCGAAAGAUGAAAAGCACUUUGGAAAGAGAGUCAAACAGCACGUGAAAUUGUUGAAAGGGAAGCGCUUGCAGCCAGACUUGCUUGCAGUUGCUCAUCCGGGCUUUUGCCCGGUGCACUCUUCUGCAGGCAGGCCAGCAUCAGUUUGGGCGGUGGGAUAAAGGUCUCUGUCAUGUACCUCUCUUCGGGGAGGCCUUAUAGGGGAGGCGACAUACCACCAGCCUAGACUGAGGUCCGCGCAUCUGCUAGGAUGCUGGCGUAAUGGCUGUAAGCGGCCCGUCUUGAAACACGGACCAAGGAGUCUAACAUCUAUGCGAGUGUUUGGGUGUCAAGCCCGAGCGCGUAAUGAAAGUGAACGGAGGUGGGAACCCGCAAGGGUGCACCAUCGACCGAUCCUGAAGUUUACGGAAGGAUUUGAGUAAGAGCAUGGCUGUUGGGACCCGAAAGAUGGUGAACUAUGCUUGAAUAGGGUGAAGCCAGAGGAAACUCUGGUGGAGGCUCGCAGCGGUUCUGACGUGCAAAUCGAUCGUCAAAUUUGGGCAUAGGGGCGAAAGACUAAUCGAACUAUCUAGUAGCUGGUUCCUGCCGAAGUUUCCCUCAGGAUAGCGGUAACGUAUUCGGUUUAUGAGGAAGGGGAAUGGUUAUAGGCCAUGCGGGUUGGGGGACCUG